AGCAGCCGCGGUAAUACGGAGGGUGCAAGCGUUACUCGGAAUCACUGGGCGUAAAGCGCGCGCAGGCGGACUAAUAAGCUAGAAGUGAAAUGCUGUGGCUCAACCAUAGAACUGCUUCUAGAACUGUUAGUCUAGAGUCUGGGAGGGGAAGAUGGAAUUAGUUGUGUAGGGGUAAAAUCCGUAGAGAUAACUAGGAAUACCAAAAGCGAAGGCGAUCUUCUGGAACAGUACUGACGCUGAGGCGCGAAAGCGUGGGGAGCAAACAGGAUUAGAUACCCUGGUAGUCCACGCCCUAAACGAUGAAUGUUAGUCGUUGGAUAGCUAGUCUAUUCAGUGAUGCAGUUAACACAUUAAACAUUCCGCCUGGGGAGUACGGUCGCAAGAUUAAAACUCAAAGGAAUAGACGGGGACCCGCACAAGUGGUGGAGCAUGUGGUUUAAUUCGAAGAUACGCGAAGAACCUUACCUAGCCUUGACAUUGAUAGAACACUUUAGAGAUAGAGUGGUGCCCUUCGGGGAACUUGAAAACAGGUGCUGCACGGCUGUCGUCAGCUCGUGUCGUGAGAUGUUGGGUUAAGUCCCGCAACGAGCGCAACCCUCGUGACUAGUUACUAACGGUUCGGCCGAGGACUCUAGUCAGACUGCCUUCGCAAGGAGGAGGAAGGUGAGGACGACGUCAAGUCAUCAUGGCCCUUACGGCUAGGGCGACACACGUGCUACAAUGGGUAGGACAAUGAGAAGCGAUACCGCGAGGUGGAGCAAAUCUAUAAACCUACUCUCAGUUCGGAUAGCAGUCUGCAACUCGACUGCUUGAAGCUGGAAUCACUAGUAAUCGUAGAUCAGCCAUGCUACGGUGAAUACGU
rnacentral:rRNA from 1 species